UCUCUAGUAAACACUUGUCGAUGUCCUCCCAUUGUGUCAUAAGUCCCUGAGGCCGAUAUCCGUCUCUGCAGCCACAGAUGCUACUGCUUUUUCCGGAAUCCACUGUUCGAAGUUGAAGACCAACGGCUGCAAGACUUGUUCAAGCAUCCUCUUUUGUAUAGUGUUUCAAGUGCUGCCCCAGAUGGACAUCUGUAAUCUCAGACAGCGAUUCCCUAGGACGAAGGAGAGCCUUUGCCUCACCUGGACAGCUCAGGUUGAUGCGACAGAAUUGGAGCGGCCUAACAAACGACAGGAAAAAUCAUUACAGUCCUCUCAUCUUUGCCAAAAGACGUGGCGUUUCAGCAGCCAAAGCCAAGAGGCUUCAGCACCAGGGGUCUGCGCUGGAGGGCUCCUGGUCCUGCCCGUACUGUGGGGUUUGCAGUUUAUUAUGAGGGUGUGGGUGUAAGAAAGAGUGUGGAGCAUGG